rnacentral:rRNA from 1 species
CAGUAGCCGCGGUAAUACGGAGGGAGCUAGCGUUAUUCGGAAUUACUGGGCGUAAAGCGCACGUAGGCGGCUUUGUAAGUUAGAGGUGAAAGCCUGGAGCUCAACUCCAGAAUUGCCUUUAAGACUGCAUCGCUUGAAUCCAGGAGAGGUGAGUGGAAUUCCGAGUGUAGAGGUGAAAUUCGUAGAUAUUCGGAAGAACACCAGUGGCGAAGGCGGCUCACUGGACUGGUAUUGACGCUGAGGUGCGAAAGCGUGGGGAGCAAACAGGAUUAGAGACCCGCGUAGUCCCUGUCUCUUAUAA